UACGGGGGGUGCAAGCGUUGUUCGGAUUUACUGGGCGUAAAGAGCGCGUAGGCGGAUGCUUAAGUGUGGCCUGAAAGCCCCCGGCUCAACCGGAGAUCCGGGUUGCAAACUGGGCAUCUUGAGGGGGAUAGAGGAAGGUGGAAUUCCUGGUGUAGCGGUGAAAUGCGUAGAGAUCAGGAGGAACACCCGUGGCGAAGGCGGCCUUCUGGGUCAGCCCUGACGCUGAGGCGCGAAAGCGUGGGGAGCGAACAGG
rnacentral:rRNA from 1 species